UACGGAGGGUGCGAGCGUUGUCCGGAAUCACUGGGCGUAAAGGGCGCGUAGGUGGCGCGACAAGUCAACGGUGAAAGCUCGGCGCUCAACGCCGAGUCGGCCGUCGAUACUGUUGGGCUUGAGCACUGUAGAGGCUAAUGGAAUUCCGGGUGUAGCGGUGGAAUGCGUAGAGAUCCGGAAGAACACCGGUGGCGAAGGCGGCCAUCUGGACGGUGACUGACGCUGAGACGCGAAAGCGUGGGGAGCAAACAGG
rnacentral:rRNA from 1 species